GCUGGGUUAGGGGGGGAAGGGGGUUGGGACGUAAGGCCUUACCGGGCAAUUAACCCGGACCGGACCGGCCCGGAAAGAGAAAUACCGGGCGAACCGGCCAACCCGGACCGGCCCGGACCGGUUAUAACGGUAAAAUUUUUUUUUUUUUUUAAAAAAAAAUUUUUGUUGUGUUCAUUCAAUUAUUACAAAGUAUUAAUAUAACUUAAUAUUUAUACUAUACGUAAUUCAAAAAAUAAAUAAAUAAAUAAAUCCGGCCCGGCCCGGCCC
rnacentral:lncRNA from 1 species